rnacentral:rRNA from 1 species
UAGGGAAUCUUCCGCAAUGGACGAAAGUCUGACGGAGCAACGCCGCGUGAGUGAAGAAGGAUUUCGGUUCGUAAAACUCUGUUGUUAGGGAAGAAAAAAUGUAUAGUAACUAUAUACAAAAGAGACGGUACCUAACCAGAAAGCCACGGCUAACUACGUGCCAGCAGCCGCGGUAAUUCGUAGGUGGCAAGCGUUGUCCGGAAUUAUUGGGCGUAAAGCGCGCGCAGGUGGUUUUGAAAGUCUGAUGUGAAAGCCCACGGCUCAACCGUGGAGGGUCAUUGGAAACUAAUAAACUUGAGUGCAGGAGAGAAAAGUGGAAUUCCUAGUGUAGCGGUGAAAUGCGUAGAGAUUAGGAGGAACACCGGUGGCGAAAGCGGCUUUUUGGCCUGCAACUGACACUGAGGCGCGAAAGCGUGGGGAGCAAACAGG